ACAGGUGUAGCAAUACAUGCUGGCGACCGGCGCACGGGUGCGUAACACGUAUGAAACCUACCCAUAACUUGGGAAUAGCCCGAAGAAAUUCGGAUUAAUGUCCAAUAAUACGAUUGAAUGGCAUCAUUUGAUUGUUAAAGAUUUAUCGGUUAUGGAAGGUCAUGCGGCUGAUUAGCUAGUUGGUGAGGUAAUGGCUCACCAAGGCGACGAUCAGUAGGGGACCUGAGAGGGUGAUCCCCCACACUGGUACUGAGAUACGGACCAGACUCCUACGGGAGGCAGCAGUAGGGAAUAUUGGGCAAUGGGCGAGAGCCUGACCCAGCCAUGCCGCGUGCAGGAAGAAGGCCUUCUGGG
rnacentral:rRNA from 1 species